rnacentral:rRNA from 1 species
UACGAAGGGUGCAAGCGUUACUCGGAAUUACUGGGCGUAAAGCGUGCGUAGGUGGUUCGUUAAGUCUGUCGUGAAAGCCCCGGGCUCAACCUGGGAAUGGCGAUGGAUACUGGCGGGCUAGAGUGCGGUAGAGGGUGGUGGAAUUCCCGGUGUAGCAGUGAAAUUCGUAGAUAUCGAGAAGAACACCGGUGGCGAAGGCGGCCACCUGGACGGUGACUGACGCUGAGACGCGAAAGCGUGGGGAGCAAACAGG